rnacentral:rRNA from 1 species
CCUACGGGUGGCAGCAGUGGGGAAUAUUGGACAAUGGGCGAAAGCCUGAUUCAGCCAUGCCGCGUGUGUGAAGAAGGCCUUCGGGUUGUAAAGCACUUUCAGUGGGGAAGAAAGCCUUGGGGCUAAUACCCUCGAGGAAGGACAUCACCCACAGAAGAAGCACCGGCUAACUCCGUGCCAGCAGCCGCGGUAAUACGGAGGGUGCGAGCGUUAAUCGGAAUUACUGGGCGUAAAGCGCGCGUAGGCGGUCUGAUAAGCCGGUUGUGAAAGCCCCGGGCUCAACCUGGGAACGGCAUCCGGAACUGUCAGGCUAGAGUGCAGGAGAGGAAGGUAGAAUUCCCGGUGUAGCGGUGAAAUGCGUAGAGAUCGGGAGGAAUACCAGUGGCGAAGGCGGCCUUCUGGACUGACACUGACGCUGAGGUGCGAAAGCGUGGGUAGCAAACAGGAUUAGAUACCCCUGUAGUC